rnacentral:rRNA from 1 species
UACGUAGGUCCCGAGCGUUGUCCGGAUUUAUUGGGCGUAAAGCGAGCGCAGGUGGUUUAUUAAGUCUGGUGUAAAAGGCAGUGGCUCAACCAUUGUAUGCAUUGGAAACUGUUUUUCUUGAGUACUGGAGAGGCAGACGGAAUUCCUCGUGUAGCGGUGAAAUGCGUAGAUAUGAGGAGGAACACCAGUGGCGAAGGCGGUCUGCUGGACAGCAACUGACGCUGAGGCGCGAAAGCGUGGGGAGCAAACAGG